UGUGCUGCGCUGCACUGCAGCAUCCCUUUCUGUCCUGGCACCACCUGACAGGUGCUGCCUGUGUGGGGUCAGCCAGCCCAGCACCUGUCCUCACAAGAUCAGCCUCUCUAGCCACAUGCGGGAUGCCAUGCCCCCAUCCUCUGCGAGCCACACUUAUGUGCUGCCCGCUGGCUGCUCAGCGCCUACCAACUGACUCCUCGAAUGAACGGGAUCUCCCUGAAGACCCACACUCAGCCUGGCUGUGGAGGCCCCUGUGGACGCUGC
rnacentral:lncRNA from 1 species